UCUCUGGGCCUCUUUCAGCUCAGUUCCCACUCAGCUAAAGGAUUAUCUGUCCCCUACUCGGUUCAUUCACCGAGCCCCAAAGAAGCUCGGGUUCGGUUGGAGCUAAGAGCCGGAAAACACACACCCAGGCUUCAGCACUAGUUGGUGGAGCCCGAAGGGCCGCACACUACGGCUGAGGGUGGGGGUUCGAGAGCUCCGGAGGAAGGAACGCCUGGGAUCCGGCGAGCCACGGCCCGCGAAGUGCAGACCCCGGAGACGAACGCCCCCAUCGGGUCACCGGCUUAAGUUAGCUCCGCGUGCGCCCGCGGGCCGGAGCGCGAGACCGCGCCGGGUGGCCGGGUUGACUCCUCAGCCCGAGUGACCAACCGCAGUCGGGGAAGCACUGGGGCACCCUAACGGGAAAGCCCGCCCCAAAUCUGGAGCAGACAGACUGCGAAGCACCCCCUCCUCCCCCGCCGCUACAGCCCCGGGGCUCCAACAUUCAGAUCCUGGGGACCGCGGCAACGUGUCCCCUUAUGUGGCCGGUCCCCAGCCCAGGAGCCGAGCGCUCGGUCCCCGGGAAGGACCUGGAGAACCGAGAGAUGGAGUAGAGGAACCUCCGCGUCUCUCCACCGCCCCCGCCGGCGCGAAGGCGGGAGUGGAGAAGGCGCCACUCAGACGGUGGCGCUGAGAGAACUGUGGCCGCAGUUCUCCCAAGUUUGCCCCGGCGAGGGGGAUGCGGUGGGCGCCCCGCUCAGCUCUCUGCCUUCUCUAGCAGUCUCCUCUCGACCGUCCCCAGCUCUACCGGCUCGGCCCGACUCUAGGCCAGCCACCGAGGUGGCCGGGCGCGGGAGCAGACGCAGAGAGCGAGGGAGGGGACGAGGGUGCUCCCGCGUGUGCACACAAUGAGGCGGCCGGCACGCACACCUUCCUCCCGCCGGAGAAACGGGACGAACCUCAGCCGCCUAGAUGCGGGGACGCGGGGUCCCUGGGAGCCACCCGCAGAAAGGGAUGUCCGCUAGGCUGAAUCCCUUGGCACCGUAAGCCUGGCGGACCUCGCUACAGCUCCGAGCCUUCACGUCCGCCGCGGCCGGGAGGGACAGCAGCAGCCCGGAGAGAGGAAGAAUCACAGCCCGGAUCCAAGAAGGCAUGGUGAAACGUGCAAGUCCACCUCGGCAGCCCCCAGCUCCCUAUGCGCUCUUCACCUUGCCCCUGGAGCCGAAAGCCCGCCAGAGCCUGCGGCGCGCUCCUUAGCCGCUGCCCAGCGUCACCCCCUUCCGCCAGCCGAGGGGACGAGCCGUGCAGCUCUCUGGACUGCGCUCAGCAAACUUUUAUAAGCCAGAUGGAGGAUGGCAAGCCAACCAGGGCUGGCUGGGGAAUGCAGCCGGCUCGGCUAGCCGCUGGGGUAGAAAACGGUACGAGAAAGGCGAGAGAGGAGAAGGCAAAUAAAUGUCUUUUUUUUUUUUUUUUUCUUUUUCUGUUUUAAAUACCACAGUGGGGGCGUUCAGAGCAGCGGUCCGAGUUCCGAGCCGCAGAGUCGUGGAGCGCUGCGAGCUCGCCUGGCCAGGGUGUGCGACGAAGGUGGGACCGCGCGCCGGCUCCCCCCGGAGGGAGAUGGACAGGCCGGCGCGAGUGUGUGCGCGCGUGUUUGUGGGUGUGAGCGCUGGACUCUCGGGGAGGUGUGUGCGUGGAGGUAUGUGAUGGAGAUGUACGGGAUCCAGGGAAACCUCAGCUUCACACAGACUGGGGGAGCCUGUGCGAGUCUUCUUGAAAUAGGAAGAGAGAAAAUCCUGGAGACUGACACUGGAGAAAGGAGGGAGGGAGAGAGAGAGAAACGUGCUACCCAGUGCACCGCCGAAAUUCAGAGGCAGAGUCGGCCGCAAAACCUGGAAUGGAUCGCGAGCCAUUAGCUAGGAGGGAAGAGAUUAGAAACGCAAGGUCCCUAUUUUCUCAAUCACUUCACAAGUCUCCAUACCCAUCCGAAAUGCUACCUUUCCUGACAUAAAUAAACCACAAUAAAAAGAGAAAAAAAGUGUUUGAGGCGA